AAACUCUAGAAGCUUCCAGAAAAGCCUACUUGCAAAUGUGGCAGGAGAGAGAGAGCUGCUUGGCUGCCGUCCGUCCAAGUCUUUGCCGGAGCCCGUCGACGAGCUGGGCCGCGACUUCCCAGCGCAGCUGCCUGAGAGGCCGUGAAGACAGCUCCUCGCCCGCUUCGCGUACUGACGCACCCCAAGCUCUGAGCACCGCGCACCAGGCAGGCUCUCGGGCCACACGUGGUGGGCGAGCCCCGGGGUGACCGCGGAGGGAGACAGGGCUGCAUCCCCGGGUGUGUUAAUGAUGCAUUGACUUGAAAGGUAAAUUAAAAAUAAAACAAUGAAAGAGUGGAGAGUAGGAGGGCCUCAGAUUUCUUUCUUUUUUUAAAAGAUUAUUUUUAUUAUUAAAGACACAGAGAGAGGCAGAGACACAGGCAGAGGGAGAAGCAGGCUCCAUGCAGGGAGCCCGACGUGGGACCCGAUCCCAGGACCCCAGGACUCCAGGAUCAUGCUCCAGGCUGAAGGCAGGAGCUACACCACUGAGCCACCUGGGCUUCCCUGGACCUCAGAUUUCUUUUUUUCUCCAUAUCAGAUUUUACGGAAACGUGUCCAUUUCCAUGACUACGUUUUGUUUACAGAAGGGCUGAAAACGGCAGCUCGGAGUCUCCCCAGGGCGCCGCCACAUGCCCCACAGGAGGGCGGGCCGCCGGGCGCUUCGCCUCCUCAGGCCUGCGGAAGAGCCGCGCAUGCGCACCUGCAGCCGCUCGCGGCCCUUGUCGACGAGAGCGACUUGCCCACGCCGGCCUUGCGGCGCUUUUGGAUGGUCUCGGGCUUACAGCCUUUACCGCCUCUGCUUGCCAGACUUCCAGCUCUUUCUGUGGUCCUGGUCCAUGAACGUUCAUGGAGCUGCACAUCAAUAUCGCGGAUGUUAGAGGUUCAGAGACGAAUGAGCGUCCAUUGUGCUUGUUCUCAGCCUGCAUCAGGAGUCCGACUUGAGAUCCAGCUCAGUCCAGCCACCAGCUAG
rnacentral:lncRNA from 12 species